rnacentral:piRNA from 1 species
AUCUGGACCAUUAAGAAAAAUGGG